rnacentral:rRNA from 1 species
UACGGAGGGUGCAAGCGUUAAUCGGAAUUACUGGGCGUAAAGCGCACGCAGGCGGUCUGUCAAGUCGGAUGUGAAAUCCCCGGGCUCAACCUGGGAACUGCAUUCGAAACUGGCAGGCUAGAGUCUUGUAGAGGGGGGUAGAAUUCCAGGUGUAGCGGUGAAAUGCGUAGAGAUCUGGAGGAAUACCGGUGGCGAAGGCGGCCCCCUGGACAAAGACUGACGCUCAGGUGCGAAAGCGUGGGGAGCAAACAGGGUUAGAUACCCUGGUAGUCCACGCCGUAAACGAUGUCGAC